rnacentral:rRNA from 1 species
UUUUUAUUGAGAGUUUGAUCCUGGCUCAGGACGAACGCUGGCGGUAUGCUUAACACAUGCAAGUCGAACGAGAAGGUUUUGAAUGAUCCUUCGGGUGAAAUUAGAACUGGAAAGUGGCGAACGGGUGAGUAACGCGUGGGUAACCUGCCCUAUGGAAAGGAAUAGCCUCGGGAAACUGGGAGUAAAGCCUUAUAUUAUGGUUUUGUC